AUGGUCGGUUUUCCAUGCGCUAUCUUGAACCUAUUCCGCGCUUCAACCAAGAGAGUCGGAAAGUUCUGCAUCAAAUGGAGGUACUCACUUGACGUCGCGACCAUCUUGAAAUUGUCACCAUCGGUGAGGAAAUCAAAGCACCUAGCUUUGAGUUUGGGGCAGACAUGGGCCUCCGCAAGUUCCAACAUUGAAACCACAGUGUCCGUCGUGAUACCAUUGCAACAUAGUUUGUCCUCACAGAUCUUCUUUAGCCCCUCCACCCCAUACCUAUCAGCGGCUACAAGCAGAUGCUGGUACUGUGCCAUGGGGGAAGAAUAUCCACCUUGCCAGCAUCAGGCAGCGAACUAUGAUAUAUGUAAUGGAGCAUUGAUCUGA
rnacentral:rRNA from 1 species